AGCAGUCGCCGCGGUAAUACGGAGGGGGCUAGCGUUGUUCGGAAUUACUGGGCGUAAAGCGCACGUAGGCGGCUUGGUAAGUUAGAGGUGAAGGCCUGGAGCUCAACUCCAGAAUUGCCUUUAAGACUGCCGAGCUAGCAGGUGAGAGAGGUAAGUGGAAUUCCGAGUGUAGAGGUGAAAUCCGUAGAUAUUCGGAAGAACACCAGUGGCGAAGGCGGCUUACUGGCUCAUACUGGACGCUGAGGUGCGAAAGCGUGGGGAGCAAACAGGAUUAGAUACCCCUGUAGUCUGUCUCUUAUACAC
rnacentral:rRNA from 1 species